AGUCACUGACAUUAGAUACCCGGUAGUCCAGGGUGUAAACGCUGCAGACUUGGUGUUGGGGCCCUUUGGGGGCAUUCAGUGCCGGAGAGAAGUUGUUAAGUCUGCUACUUGGGGAGUACGUCCGCAAGGAUGAAACUUAAAGGAAUUGGCGGGGGAGCACCGCAACGGGAGGAGCGUGCGGUUUAAUUGGAUUCAACACCGUAAACUCACCAGGGAAGACUGUUACAUGAAGGCCGAGAUGAAGACUCUGCUAGAUUUUCAG
rnacentral:rRNA from 1 species